rnacentral:rRNA from 1 species
UGCCAGCCGCCGCGGUAAUACGAGUGGUGCAAGCGUUAUUCGGAAUCAUUGGGCGUAAAGGGCGCGCAGGCGGUUUCUUAAGUCAGAUGUGAAAGCCCGGGGCUCAACCCCGGAAGUGCAUUUGAAACUAAGGAACUUGAGUAUGGGAGAGGGAAGUGGAAUUCCUGGUGUAGCGGUGAAAUGCGUAGAUAUCAGGAGGAACACCGGUGGCGAAGGCGACUUCCUGGACCAAUACUGACGCUGAGGUGCGAAAGUGUGGGGAGCAAACAGGAUUAGAUA